rnacentral:rRNA from 1 species
UACGUAGGGUGCAAGCGUUGUCCGGAAUUAUUGGGCGUAAAGAGCUCGUAGGCGGUUUGUCGCGUCUGCUGUGAAAACGCGGGGCUCAACUCCGCGCCUGCAGUGGGUACGGGCAGACUAGAGUGCAGUAGGGGAGACUGGAAUUCCUGGUGUAGCGGUGAAAUGCGCAGAUAUCAGGAGGAACACCGGUGGCGAAGGCGGGUCUCUGGGCCGAUACUGACGCUGAGGAGCGAAAGCGU